ensembl:lncRNA
CUCCCUGUUCUCUGCAAAGCACAUGCUGAGGGUCCACUCGCCACACAGCGUUCACUGCUAGCGCUGGAAACGGGAUGCUGCUGAUGCAAACCUGUCAGAGGGAUGGGAAUCAAAGGUGUCUACUGUAGCCAUGUAUUCCUGCUCCUCAGGCUAUGGAGAGGUGAAAGACAAGGCGUCUGCGGGAACACGACCUCUCUGACAGACCCAGUUACACCAGAGCAGGCAGAGGGAAUGAUACACGCCAAUGGUGAGAGGAGAUACAGCAACUGCUCAGGUACGUGGGGGGUCACUGCUGGUGGCAAAGGCAGAGCCCAUCCGGGUGAGAUGAAGCACUUGACUGGAGACCUGGUUUGGUUAUUUUUGUACCAAUUUCCUUGCGGGAAAGGACACUUGGCUGCUGCUUCCACCUCCCUCCCGAUCCUCCACACCCACCUCAGGCUGCUCAGAGGCACCUUGUGUUCAGCUCCCUCUGAAACAGCCGCAGGAUCAGGAGGUGCAGAACGUGCUUUCACUGGCCUUGGACAUCGUGCCUGCAGGAAGAACACAGGCGUGUCAGUGGUUGUUUUUGCUGGCCUUCCUUAAAUGCAAAAGUGUAAUCCCCUGGCAAGCAAGACUUCUACAUUUUAGAGGUUAAAAGUGUUGCCACAACGCAGUACCCAUCCUUUUCCAGCUUAGUCAACCUUCUAAGAACAAAGAAAAAUGAAAUUAUAGACUGACAGUAAUCUUAUUUCGCUUAAUGAUCUCAUAUAAUGACUUGUUUGUGACAAAACACAUCUCCUCCUCCUGAGCACUGUUCAGGCACUUAACUGCGGGAUCAGGAUCAGCUCCUGGCGCAGAGAAGAAGAUGUUCUUGUUGUUUCAUUUGAUUUUCUCUUUGAAUGUGUUGGCAAUAUCUGCAGUGCCCACUGCUGAUGUAACGCAGAUCUAAUUCUCAUCUCAUUUAAUGGCUGCCUCCAUAGGCAAACAACACCUAGUGGGAGCGAUGAUUAGAAAGCAACAGCAGAGUUAUGAAGCAUAGAUACAUGAAAUGAAUUGCAGAAAAGUUCCUAAUGACAGGAUCUCUGGCCACAUCAGUCAGCUGGCACUAAACUGCUGCUUUUGUCUUAUUUUUAGUUAAUGACAGUCACAUUAUAAAGGAGCAAAGAGGAGGAAAGCAGGAAAGAAUGCAGAAUAUACCCUGUCCUCCUGACGCCAAUGUCAUGGAAGCGUCAAGUGAAGAAGACAGUUGUAAAAAUGGAUUGCAUGGAGAAUGCCUCUCAAGCUGUUAUCUGUUAUUUAUAAGGAAUUAAAAUGCACUAGUUAUAUGUGCCAGAAAAAUGGGCUCAUCAGUACUGUGCUGAGAUGCAUUAUGACUUUCCGAUUCCUGAUUUCAUAGCUGCUGUACUCACUCGAAAACAUAUUUAUAUACUUUGUAUCAACUGCUACCCAUUGAAUUUUUAUUGUCCAUUACAGGGGAAAAUCUUAUGUUUCAAUUUGCAUCUCGCUUGAUUCAUUGACACACCAUUCAUAACUCUGGUCUUGUGGGAUUUCCUCGGGAAAUGCUGGAUCUCAGGCUGUGAGGAUAUCCCUUCCUACAGCACAUGAACGGCUGUUAAUGCCAUCACACCGUGGGCUGACAGAUGUCAAUGGAGUCCCAGCCCCCGCCACAGUCAGGAG